UUGAAUUUAUGCAAGAACCAAGAAGUACUCCAACUUCCUCACACUGUUGAAGUGGUCAGAUUGCAUGAUUGUGUCAAUUUGAAAAUGAUCCAAGAGCUUCCACUUAACCUUAGGAGUAUUUAUUUAGAUAGUUGCAAAAGUCUUAAAAUGCUUCCAAAACUUCCUCCAAAUCUUGAGGAUAUUACUUUAGAUGGCUGUUAAACCCUUGAAAUGCUCUCGGAACUUCCUCUCAAUCUUAAGACAAUUAGGUUAUCUAGUUGCAAAAAUUUAUUUAGGUGGUUGUGGAAAUUUUGAAAUGCUUCCAGAACUUCCUCCAAAUCUUGAGUAUAUUACUUUAGGUGGCUGU